CCUCGAAGNACGGGGGGUGCCCGAAAGGGAGCCUGAACACAGGUGCUGCAUGGCUGUCGUCAGCUCGUGUCGUGAGAUGUUGGGUUAAGUCCCGCAACGAGCGCAACCCUUGUCAUUAGUUGCUACGAAAGGGCACUCUAAUGAGACUGCCGGUGACAAACCGGAGGAAGGUGGGGAUGACGUCAAGUCCUCAUGGCCCUUAUGGGUAGGGCUUCACACGUCAUACAAUGGUACAUACAGAGGGCCGCCAACCCGCGAGGGGGAGCUAAUCCCAGAAAGUGUAUCGUAGUCCGGAUUGUAGUCUGCAACUCGACUACAUGAAGUUGGAAUCGCUAGUAAUGGCAGAUCAGCACGCUGCCGUGAAUACGUUCCCGGGCCUUGUACACACCGCCCGUCACAUCACGAAAGUGGGUUGUACUAGAAGCCUGCAGGCCGACCCGCAAGGGGGGCAGCGGUCCAAGGUAUGACUCAUGAUUGGGGUGAAGUCGUAACAAGGUAACCGU
rnacentral:rRNA from 1 species